UUCAUGGAGAGUUUGAUCCUGGCUCAGGACGAACGCUGGCGGCGUGCCUAAUACAUGCAAGUCGAGCGGACCGACGGGAGCUUGCUCCCUUAGGUCAGCGGCGGACGGGUGAGUAACACGUGGGUAACCUGCCUGUAAGACUGGGAUAACUCCGGGAAACCGGGGCUAAUACCGGAUGCUUGAU
rnacentral:rRNA from 1 species